UACGUAGGGUGCAAGCGUUGUCCGGAAUUAUUGGGCGUAAAGAGCUCGUAGGCGGUCUGUCGCGUCGGAUGUGAAAACCCAGGGCUCAACCCUGGGCCGGCAUUCGAUACGGGCAGACUAGAAUUCGGUAGGGGAGUCUGGAAUUCCUGGUGUAGCGGUGAAAUGCGCAGAUAUCAGGAGGAACACCGGUGGCGAAGGCGGGACUCUGGGCCGAUAUUGACGCUGAGGAGCGAAAGCGUGGGGAGCGAACAGG
rnacentral:rRNA from 1 species